UAACUACUGGAAACGGUAGCUAAUACCGCAUAACGUCGCAAGACCAAAGAGGGGGACCUUCGGGCCUCUUGCCAUCGGAUGUGCCCAGAUGGGAUUAGCUAGUAGGUGGGGUAACGGCUCACCUAGGCGACGAUCCCUAGCUGGUCUGAGAGGAUGACCAGCCACACUGGAACUGAGACACGGUCCAGACUCCUACGGGAGGCAGCAGUGGGGAAUAUUGCAC
rnacentral:rRNA from 1 species